rnacentral:rRNA from 1 species
GUGCCAGCAGCCGCGGUAAUACCGGCAGCCCGAGUGAUGGCCGAUCUUAUUGGGCCUAAAGCGUCCGUAGCUGGCCGCGCAAGUCCGUUGGGAAAUCCACCUGCCCAACAGGUGGGCGUCCGGCGGAAACUGUGUGGCUUGGAACCGGAAGGCUCAGAGGGUACGUCCGGGGUAGGAGUGAAAUCCCGUAAUCCCGGACGGACCACCGAUGGCGAAAGCACUCUGAGAAGACGGCUGCGACAGUGAGGGACGAAAGCCAGGGUCUCCAACCGGAUUAGAUACCCGGGUAGUCC